rnacentral:hammerhead_ribozyme from 1 species
AUCCAUCUGAGGAGUCCCAAAUAGGAGGAAAAGCGCAUCAAACUGGAU